UACGUAGGGGGCAAGCGUUAUCCGGAUUUACUGGGUGUAAAGGGUGUGUAGGCGGGAGUGCAAGUCAGAUGUGAAAUGCUCGGGCUUAACCCGAGCAGUGCAUUUGAAACUGCGCUUCUUGAGAGUCGGAGAGGUAAACGGAAUUCCCAGUGUAGCGGUGAAAUGCGUAGAUAUUGGGAGGAACACCGGUGGCGAAGGCGGUUUACUGGACGACAACUGACGCUGAGACACGAAAGCGUGGGGAGCAAAC
rnacentral:rRNA from 1 species